rnacentral:rRNA from 1 species
GGGGGAUAACACUUGGAAACAGGUGCUAAUACCGCAUAACCAUAGUUACCGCAUGGUAGCUAUGUAAAAGGUGGCUAUGCUACCGCUUUUGGAUGGGCCCGCGGCGCAUUAGCUAGUUGGUGGGGUAAAGGCUUACCAAGGCAAUGAUGCGUAGCCGAACUGAGAGGUUGAUCGGCCACAUUGGGACUGAGACACGGCCCAAACUCCUACGGGAGGCAGCAGUAGGGAAUCUUCCACAAUGGGCGAAAGCCUGAUGGAGCAACGCCGCGUGGGUGAAGAAGGUCUUCGGAUCGUAAAACCCUGUUGUUAGAGAAGAAAGUGCGUGAGAGUAACUGUUCACGUUUCGACGGUAUCUAACCAGAAAGCCACGGCUAACUACGUGCCAGCAGCCGCGGUAAUACGUAGGUGGCAAGCGUUAUCCGGAUUUAUUGGGCGUAAAGGGAACGCAGGCGGUCUUUUAAGUCUGAUGUGAAAGCCUUCGGCUUAACCGGAGUAGUGCAUUGGAAACUGGGAGACUUGAGUGCAGAAGAGGAGAGUGGAACUCCAUGUGUAGCGGUGAAAUGCGUAGAUAUAUGGAAGAACACCAGUGGCGAAAGCGGCUCUCUGGUCUGUAACUGACGCUGAGGUUCGAAAGCGUGGGUAGCAAACAGGAUUAGAUACCCUGGUAGUCCACGCCGUAAACGAUGAAUGGUA